AUAGUAUGUAAAAUUAUAUGGCUUUUUCACUUGGAAAAAUGUAAAUCUACCUUAUUUUAGGUGCCGCUAUGUGUGAACCAGAGAUGGAAGCAUGUGACAAGAAAACAGACAUGGAUACCAAUCAACUUCUAUGUGAACAUACUCGUGUUAUGAGGGAUUUCAUUAAAUCUUUGCAAGCGUUAACACAGAUUUUAAAUGCUGUAAAAGACGGUAUUGCCAAGUUAAAUGAAAAGAAAUAAUUUCUUUGAACAAUUUUUACACUUUGAACAUUGUGUCUUUUUUACUCUUUUUGAUUCUCUGCUUGGAAUUAUAAAUCAAGUGAGCGAUAGCAUUUUCAUAGGUUCUAUUGUUGUGCAAAGUAAUCUUUUAGAAGAUUCUAAAAUAUUUACAACUAACUUUGAAUCUGUUUGCGAUGUAAAAUCAAAUAAUUUGUGAAAUUAAUUGACUGCAUUAUACGCAGAAAACACAGGAA